UAGUAACGGCGAGUGAAGCGGGAUGAGCUCAAGCUUAAAAUCUCCGUGCACGUUGUGCGCGGCGAAUUGUAGUCUAUAGAUGCGUGAUCAGCGCGGGCGCUCGGGGUAAGUUCCUUGGAAGAGGACAGCAUGGAGGGUGAUACUCCCGUUUGUACCUGAGUGUUUUGCGCGUACGGUCCGUGUUCUUUGAGUCGCGUUGUUUGGGAAUGCAGCGCAAAGUAGGUGGUAAAUUCCAUCUAAAGCUAAAUAUUGGUGCGAGACCGAUAGCGAACAAGUACCGUGAGGGAAAGAUGAAAAGAACUUUGAAAAGAGAGUUAAAGAGUACCUGAAACUGCUGAAAGGGAACCGAAUCGUUUCCAGUGUCUAUAAUCUGCGGCAUAUUUCAUGUGCGAGUGCGUGCGUUUCGGCUUUGUGGCAGUGGUCUUUUGUCUGCGCCCGUUGCUGUUUGUGCGUGUGGUUGCGUGUGCCCUGUGCUGUGGUGGGACGUCAAGGUGAGUUCGAAUGCUGCGGGAAAUGGCCGUCGGGGAGGUAGGUCUUAAGCUCUGCUUUUGGCUAUUAUAUCUCGGCGGUUGAGUCGUCGCGGUUGGGACUGAGGUGCCUACAACGUGCUUUUGAGCGCGUGCGUGUCUCUGUGCUUGCGUUGUGCGGAUAGCUUGCUAUGCGCGUGGCGUUGCGUGCGGAUGGAUAUGCGCUGCUGCUUGUUGCCGUUC
rnacentral:rRNA from 1 species